rnacentral:rRNA from 1 species
AGAGUUUGAUCCUGGCUCAGGACGAACGCUGGCGGCGUGCCUAACACAUGCAAGUGGAGCGACGAACCAGGCUUCGGCCUGGGGCAAAGCCGCGAACGGGUGAGUAACACGUGGGUAACCUGCCCCGAUGAUUGGGACAACCCGAGGAAACUCGGGCUAAUACCGAAUGUGCCCUCCGACCAUAAGGUCGCUGGGGAAAGGAAGCUUCGGCCUUCGCAUCGGGAUGGGCCCGCGGCCCAUUAGCUUGUUGGUGAGGUAACGGCUCACCAAGGCUGCGAUGGGUAGCUGGUCUGAGAGGACGAUCAGCCACACUGGGACUGAGACACGGCCCAGACUCCUACGGGAGGCAGCAGUGGGGAAUCUUGCGCAAUGCGCGAAAGCGUGACGCAGCAACGCCGCGUGGGGGAAGAAGGCCUUCGGGUUGUAAACCCCUUUCAGUUGGGACGAAGCUUCGUCGGUGAAUAGCCGGCCGGAGUGACGGUACCUUCAGAAGAAGCCCCGGCUAACUACGUGCCAGCCGCCGCGGUAAUAC